rnacentral:misc_RNA from 1 species
GCUAAAGGUAACUGGAUUUUAUUUUGAUGGAAAAGUAGAGUACUGUAUCAGCUUGGAUAGUUCAUCUUUGUUGUGAAAUCUAUUACAACUAAACUGAAAUGAAGAUAUUACAAGCCGGCCCGUCCACGGGGCCCAAAAUCUUAUUUGCUAUAUGAUUAGUAAUACGGGAUUUGUGAAUAAUCAUGGAGAUUAUUUUAGUUGGAAGAAGAUUUUGCAGCCUCUAGAUGAGCUCUAAUGAAAGCAAUAUGUUUCUCUCUCGGAGGAAUGCAUUCAUUGACCACAUCUAUUUUGAGUAGCUUUUCUAUCCAUUUGCAUAUAGCUGGAAGUUUCUCUUUACUGAUCAAUUCCACUUGCGUAACUUCUUGAUUGACUUGAAAUGCACGGGCUAUAAAAAAUACCACAAUGUCUAGGUAUCCAAUACUCCCACCUCCGAAGAAGUCCUUUCCGUUCAGCUCAUUCUCAAGAAAAUUAAGCUUCUGAUACACUUGUUCAAUGAUCUGCUCUUGCUCUUUCCCUUCUGCUGCAAUGGUCUUUAGAGCUGUCGGCAAGAUCUGCAUUAAUUGUCAAUAUCAGUAAACCUGUCUUAUGAGUAUAAUUAAGCCAAAAAUUGGGGAACUGAUUUAUCUACCUGUUCAUGAAAAAAUUUAGCCCAGAAGCGAGCUAUAGCUCUGUCAUAAGGAUCUUUCGGCAACAAGGGAUUGUUUUGCCAGGUUUCAUCGAUGUACUCAAGGAUGACAAGUGAUUCUGCAAUUGGUUUUUCAUUGUGUACGAGCACAGGAAUCUUCUUAUGGACAGGGUUAUACUCAAGGAGGAGAGGACUCUUGUUGGAGAGGUCUUCUUCUAUGUAAUGAUAUUGUACCCCUUUCAGCUUGAGCGCUAGCUCUACUGUGUGGCUGAAAGGACUAGCCCACAUUCCAAAAAGCUUCACUUCUGCCAUUUGGGCUUCUGCAGAUCAAAGAAAUGUGUUGCACAACUUGCUUCAUUCCAUAUUUAGCCUUUUAUAUCAAGGACAGUUUCUUG